CAAAACAAAAAUAUUAAAUACUAAUAGAAGACUAUCUAGAAACAAAUUACAUAUCUGAGAUUCUUGGGUUUAAAGGAGCCAAAAUUGUAAAGAUAUAGGAAAGACAGGGAGGUCCCAGCUUACACAUAGGCAGGGUGUAUGUGUAUACUAAAGGUUCAAACAGGAAGGAGAAAACUCUGGAGAAACUUCAAAAAAGAAAAACAAUUUAAGUUAAAAUAAUCAGGAAAAGUUUCAGAGGAAGUAAGACUUGGGAUUGGCUCUUAAGAACAGACAAGGUUUGGAUGGUGGAUCAACGUUGACUUUACAGUAGCAGAGAACAGCUGUAAGGUAUAUUUCAGAAAACAAUAAUUCUACCUAUAUAAACCUAAUAUCCAUCUAUUUCUUCACUACAACAAUAACAGUAGUAAUUUCAGAUUGAAUAAUGUUGAUCUAGUAAAAAAAUGGAUUUCGCUCCCGGCCGAGAUGUCUGACAUGGAGGAUGUUUUCAUGUGCAAUGAUGAGGAGGACUACGACCUGGAAUACUCUGAAGAUAGCAACUCUGAGCCAAAUGUGGAUUUGGAAAAUCAGUACUAUAAUUCCAAAGCAUUAAAAGAAGAUGGCCCAAAAGCAGCAUUAAGCAGUUUCCAAAAAGUUUUGGAACUUGAAGAUGGAUUUACUGCAGGAAUUCUAUGAAACAACACUGGAAGCUUUGAAAGAUGCUAAGAAUGAUAGACUGUGGUUUAAGACAAACACAAAGCUUGGAAAAUUAUAUUUAGAACGAGAGGAAUAUGGAAAGCUUCAAAAAAUUUUACGCCAGUUACAUCAGUCCUGCCAGACUGAUGAUGGAGAAGAUGACCUGAAAAAAGGUACCCAGUUAUUAGAAAUAUAUGCUUUGGAGAUUCAAAUGUACACGGCACAGAAAAAUAACAAAAAACUUAAAGCACUCUAUGAACAGUCAUUUCACAUCAAGUCUGCCAUCCCUCAUCCACUGAUCAUGGGAGUUAUCAGAGAAUGUGGUGGUAAAAUGCACUUGAGAGAAGGUGAAUUUGAAAAGGCACACACUGAUUUUUUUGAAGCCUUUAAGAAUUAUGAUGAAUCAGGAAGUCCAAGACGAACUACUUGCUUAAAAUAUUUGCUAUUAGCAAAUAUGCUAAUGAAAUCGGGAAUAAAUCCAUUUGACUCGCAAGAGGCCAAGCCGUACAAAAAUGAUCCAGAAAUUUUAGCAAUGACGAAUUUAGUAAGUGCCUAUCAGAAUAAUGACAUCACUGAAUUUGAAAAAAUUAUGAAAACAAAUCACAGCAACAUCAUGGAUGAUCCUUUCAUAAGAGAACACAUUGAAGAGCUUUUGCAAAACAUCAGAACACAAGUGCUCAUAAAAUUAAUUAAGCCUUACACAAGAAUACAUAUUCCUUUUAUUUCUAAGGAGUUAAACAUAGAUGUAGCUGAUGUGGAGAGCUUGCUGGUGCAGUGCAUAUUGGAUAACACUAUUCAUGGCCGAAUUGAUCAAGUCAACCAGCUCCUUGAACUGGAUCAUCAGAAGAGGGGUGGUGCACAAUAUACUGCACUAGAUAAAUGGAUCAACCAACUAAAUUCUCUCAACCAGGCUGUAGUCAGUAAACUGGCUUAACAAAGAACAAGUUUUUUCAGAUGUCCUUAAGGCAACAGUGCAGAGAUGUAAUCCUUAAAAGAACUGGGAAUGGCAAAACUACUGUCGGUUGAUGUGUCCUGAAAAUUAUUGGAGUUAUGGCAGAAGUGCUUUUUUGAUCAACUGGUUUGUGUUUUGCUGCUGUAUUUAUCCCAAGAAAAACAGCUUUAAUCUCCAGAAGAAAACCAAAAUACCAUCGGAUUUAUGCUGUAUUGACAUCUUGCCCUAAAUUUACAACAUCAUAGUAAUUUGUCAUGGGCAACAUGACCAGAGAGAAGAUUUUUGUCAUGAUUUUAAAUACACUGACACGCUACUGUUGGUUAAAUUUAAACAUGUUUUACCUGCAGAAAUUCUCUCACAAAUAACCUGCAAUAACUUGAAAUGCAUACCCUUUUGAACACUUCCUUUUCUCAUGUAUAAAUUAAAAUGUUUGCUGCAUUUUGCAAAAUGUCAAUUCUCCAGAAAUGUGUCCGUAUAUUUCUGUACCUGCAGUGUAGUAAAGGUUUAGAUGAAACCCCAUAAUUAUAGUGGCAUACUGUCACUUAGGUUUCAAGCAGCAAAAUAAAUAGUGCAGCUCAGAAAUUGUAAAAAAAAAAAAAAAAAAA